AGGAAGCUGAGCGUUCGAACCUAUGAUAUGAUACAUCAUAACACAAGAAAAGAGUAUGUGAUCAGUAUGUGGAAUGUACUUGUAUAGUAGAUGAGGUAAGGCUAAAAUGCAUGGGUUCAUAUGCAUGAACAAUAAGUAACGAGUGAUAUAAAUAUAAUAACUUAAUAAAAAUACAUGGAUAACUAAAACUACAGUAAAUACUGAGUAUGCAAUACUGUACAUUUACAUAUAUAUA
rnacentral:lncRNA from 1 species